rnacentral:sRNA from 1 species
AGUCGAAUAUAGUAAAUUUAAUUGCAAAUUGACAAUUUAACCAUCGUACUAUCGUAGAUCGCAUUUAAAAAGGUUCACAGAGUUUUUAAAUUUGUUGUGCUAAAUUCACCAAGUGUUAUUGAGAAGUUCUCCAACGUAACAGUUGUCGUUGAUUAUUAUAAUUUCCAUACAUCCACACACACACAGGUCUUUUGUGCUGCUUUGUGUUGUACAAGGGAAAAAGAAAAAAGGC